rnacentral:rRNA from 1 species
GACGAACGCUGGCGGCGUGCCUAACACAUGCAAGUCGAACGGAGAGAUACGAUCGCUUGCUCUUGUAAUUCUUAGUGGCAAACGGGUGAGUAACGCGUAAACAACCUGCCCAACGGAUGGUGACAACAGACGGAAACGACUGCUAAUACCCAAUAGACUCCGGUUUCGCAUGAAACCGACAUGAAAGGUGGCCUCUCGAAGAAGCUACCGCCGCAGGAGGGUUUUGCGUUUGAUUAGUUAGUUGGUGGGGUAACGGCCUACCAAGAAGAUGAUCAAUAGCCGGUCGGAGAGGAUGAAUGGACACACUGGAAGGGAGACACGGUCCAGACUGCUACGGGAGGGAGCAAGGGGGAAUCUUCCGCAAUGGACGAAAGUAUGACGGAGCAAGGCAGGGUGAGUGAAGAAUGCCGUCGGGUUGGAAAGGUAUGUUAUUCGGGAAGAACGAUGCGUUUGUAAAUAAUGAACGGAAGUGACGGUACCGAAAGAGAAAGCCACGGCUAACUACGUG